rnacentral:rRNA from 1 species
AUGGCCAAGUCGAAGAACUACAUGGCGCACAACCAGUCGUACAAGGCGCACAGGAACGGCAUUAAGAAGCCUAAGCGCCAGCGCCAGGCCUCCACCAAGGGGAUGGACCCGAAGUUCCCGAGGAACCUGAGGUACUCAAGGAAGCACAACGUCAAGGCUGGUGAGGGAGAGGUUGAGAACUUUGGCGGCCGCUUAACCACCACCAGGAUCGGGACGCCAUCAACAUCAUCAUUGCUAAUCUUCGUGCGAUGGCUCUACGCUUGGCGCUGCCGCUACCUCCGCCACCACCUGAGCCAGAUUAGUUUCCUCGUUGCGGUGCUACCGCCUUUUCUUUUUUCUUUUAGGGCUUGCUGA